GAUGAACGCUGGCGGCGUGCCUAAUACAUGCAAGUCGAGCGAACAGACGAGGAGCUUGCUCCUCUGACGUUAGCGGCGGACGGGUGAGUAACACGUGGAUAACCUACCUAUAAGACUGGGAUAACUUCGGGAAACCGGAGCUAAUACCGGAUAAUAUAUUGAACCGCAUGGUUCAAUAGUGAAAGACGGUUUUGCUGUCACUUAUAGAUGGAUCCGCGCCGCAUUAGCUAGUUGGUAAGGUAACGGCUUACCAAGGCAACGAUGCGUAGCCGACCUGAGAGGGUGAUCGCCCACACUGGAACUGAGACACGGCCCAGACUCCUGGGGGAGGCAGAAGUAGGGAAUCUUCCGCAAGGGGCGAAAGCCGGACGGAGCACCGCCGCGGGAGUGAUGAGGGUCUUCGUAUCGUAAAACUCUUUUUUUGGGAAAAAAAAAAGGUGUAAUUAACUAUGCACUUCUUGAGGUUACCUAAUCAGAAAGCCACGGCUAACUACGUC
rnacentral:rRNA from 1 species